AUAGUUUCUGUUCAGAGACAUGAUUAAAAGGGAAUCAGGUGAGAAUCCUGAACAGUCCCGCUGCUGUAAGCUCUGUAAAAUGUUUUGAUAAAAUACUUUGCCACUGUUUAUUAUAUAUAAAUGGGAAGGCGUUCAAAACAGGAGUAAGUCAGAAGACCUGCCAGGCAGAU
rnacentral:ncRNA from 1 species